rnacentral:rRNA from 1 species
UGGGGAAUUUUGGACAAUGGGCGAAAAGCCUGAUCCCAGCAAUGCCGCGUGUGUGAAGAAGGCCUUCGGGUUGUAAAGCACUUUUUGUCCGGAAAGAAAUCCUUGGCUCUAAUACAGUCGGGGGAUGACGGUACCGGAAGAAUAAGCACCGGCUAACUACGUGCCAGCAGCCGCGGUAAUACGUAGGGUGCAAGCGUUAAUCGGAAUUACUGGGCGUAAAGCGUGCGCAGGCGGUUUGCUAAGACCGAUGUGAAAUCCCCGGGCUCAACCUGGGAACUGCAUUGGUGACUGGCAGGCUAGAGUAUGGCAGAGGGGGGUAGAAUUCCACGUNUAGCAGUGAAAUGCGUAGAGAUGUGGAGGAAUACCGAUGGCGAAGGCAGCCCCUGGGCCAAUACUGACGCUCAUGCACGAAAGCGUGGGGAGCAAACAGGAUUAGAUACCCUGGUAGUCCACGCCCUAAACGAUGUCAACUAGUUGUUGGGGAUUCAUUUCCUUAGUAACGUAGCUAACGCGU